GGCUCAGAACGAACGCUGGCGUCGUGCUUACACAUGCAAGUCGAGCGAGGUCCAUCCUGUCGCAAGACAGGGGAAGACCUAUCGGCGAACGGGUGAGUAACACGUGAGCAACCUGCCCCGAAGACCGGGAUAACACCGGGAAACCGGUGCUAAUACCGGAUACCCUCAACGGACCGCAUGAUCCGAUGAGGAAAUGGAUUCCGCUUCGGGAGGGGCUCGCGGCCUAUCAGCUUGUUGGUGGGGUAACGGCCUACCAAGGCUCCGACGGGUAGCUGGUCUGAGAGGACGACCAGCCACACUGGGACUGAGACACGGCCCAGACUCCUACGGGAGGCAGCAGUGGG
rnacentral:rRNA from 1 species